rnacentral:rRNA from 1 species
CAGCCGCCGCGGUAAUACGUAGGUGGCAAGCGUUGUCCGGAAUUAUUGGGCGUAAAGGGCUCGCAGGCGGUUUCUUAAGUCUGAUGUGAAAGCCCCGGCUCAACCGGGGAGGGUCAUUGGAAACUGGGAAACUUGAGUGCAGAAGAGGAGAGUGGAAUUCCACGUGUAGCGGUGAAAUGCGUAGAGAUGUGGAGGAACACCAGUGGCGAAGGCGACUCUCUGGUCUGUAACUGACGCUGAGGAGCGAAAGCGUGGGGAGCGAACAGGAUUAGAGACCCCAGUAGUCCCUGUCUCUUAUACA